GGGCCCUGUCUUUCUUGCUUUUAUAUGUUGACUAUAGUGUCCUUUUAAUUUAUGCAGAAAUGGGUAGCAAGGUUGCUGUGAGCUUACAGUGGUCCUCUAGCACAACACCUCUUGUGCCAGUAGCUAAGAAAUUAACCUGACCUCACUAAAGGGUGCAGGUAGGAAGGCUGGGUGGUUUAUUUUGUUUCCUAACGUGUGUGUGUAUAUAUGUAUGUGUGUAUGUAUGUACACACAC